GUUCAGUGACGCCCAGAAAGCUGCGGUUAUGGGCAGAGCUGGUCCCGUGAAAAGGCAACGGAGCUGAGCUCCUCGUUGUAUGGGGGCUUACCCCGGUCUAGUCCUUGGAGCCUCAGUUCCACUUCUAAGGUGUGAGCAGAAGGGCGCAAGGAAGACAGAGUGUGUGCUCCGGGAACCGACGGGUCCAGUAAAAAGGGUCUGGGCUGAGGAUGGGGUGGAGGCGUCUUUAAAGAGAGUUCGGUAUGUAAAGAUACUUGCCUCCAAGCCUGACAGCUUGGUUCAAUCCUGCAGACCCACAUGGUGUUAGGAGCGAACAGACUCUCAGAAGUGAAUAAAUUUCGCCUUCCCAGACUCCUCA
rnacentral:lncRNA from 1 species